AAAAGGAUCUUUUUUUUUUUUUUUUUUUAAACAUUUUACCAAUAUUGUUUUUAUAGGAAAAGCUCCAUGGUGUUUAAGCACUGCUUAUACUUUAACUUCAAAUGUUCACAGUGUUCCUACCUGCAUUUCAUGAGGUGACAGCUGCAGCUCUCUUACCGUGGCAGUGUGUAGUGCAGCAGCAGUGACGUGCCUCUCUUUCCUGUCACCUUGGAGCUUUCCCGCGCCCGCUCUCUAACACAUAAUUUUCACGGGCUAUAGCGCCGCUCAGUGGAUAUAUCUAAUCCAUCUUUGCUGCUUUAUAUAGUGAAUGGAGACCUUGGAGGACAAACAGAAACGUCCUGUCCUUCGCCCACUUCUUUUCUUGUUUGAAUGUCUACAUUUAUAAAUCUCAGGAAGUUAUAUUAUGUCAAACUACUAUAAUGGACUUUUUAACUGUCAUUACGCGUGGUGUUUACGACAUAAAUUGACCAUGCGGUGUUUAUUGACGUUGCAUGUACUCACCAACACGACUGGAUGCAAGAAAAGCUGUUGAAAAAUGAGUUGUAGAUAUCAGAGAGGAGUCUUAAACAGAAGAAAUUCUAGUUAAAAAGAGGAAGAUGGAGAAUUAUCGAUCCCUUAUCCCGAAGGUGUCCGCCGUAUGCAGAUGUCCCCAAGGUGCACCAGAGAAGGGUCCUGUGAGCAUCGGGGUGGUGGCCGAGUCCUGCACUCGCAUAGCUGGAGCAGAGCUCCAUCUUCAGGAGCCAGACUGGAGCGGAUACAAGAGCCCUCCAGCACAUGAACACAUGUGAACAUCCUUUAUGAGAUUACAGUGGAACCUCAGAUGCUGCCCAGCACACAGAGAUCAUAUCAUAUAUAUGGCAGACGUCCACCUUUGUCAUCUCACUGAGGCAAGUUUGUUCUCCUCUGUCAUUAUCAUCAGUGUGUUCUUGACUGAGUUAUAAAGUCAGA